rnacentral:rRNA from 1 species
CCUACGGGAGGCAGCAGUGGGGAAUAUUGGACAAUGGGGGGAACCCUGAUCCAGCCAUGCCGCGUGUGUGAAGAAGGCCCUCGGGUUGUAAAGCACUUUCAGUGAGGAAGAACGCCUGGUGGUUAAUACCCAUCAGGAAAGACAUCACUCACAGAAGAAGCACCGGCUAACUCCGUGCCAGCAGCCGCGGUAAUACGGAGGGUGUGAGCGUUAAUCGGAAUUACUGGGCGUAAAGCGCGCGUAGGUGGCUUGAUAAGCCGGUUGUGAAAGCCCCGGGCUCAACCUGGGAACGGCAUCCGGAACUGUCAAGCUAGAGUGCAGGAGAGGAAGGUAGAAUUCCCGGUGUAGCGGUGAAAUGCGUAGAGAUCGGGAGGAAUACCAGUGGCGAAGGCGGCCUUCUGGACUGACACUGACACUGAGGUGCGAAAGCGUGGGUAGCAAACAGGAUUAGAUACCCCGGUAGUC